GAUGAACGCUGGCUACAGGCUUAACACAUGCAAGUCGAGGGGAAACGACGGGGAAGCUUGCUUCCCCGGGCGUCGACCGGCGCACGGGUGAGUAACGCGUAUCCAACCUGCCUCUGACUGAGGGAUAACCCGUCGAAAGUCGGCCUAAUACCUCAUGGCAUCGUCUGCGGGCAUCCAACGACGAUUAAAGAUUUCAUCGGUCAGAGAUGGGGAUGCGUCUGAUUAGCUUGUUGGCGGGGUAACGGCCCACCAAGGCGACGAUCAGUAGGGGUUCUGAGAGGAAGGUCCCCCACAUUGGAACUGAGACACGGUCCACACUCCUACGGGAGGCAGCAGUGAGGAAUAUUGGUCAAUGGGCGAGAGCCUGAACCAGCCAAGUAGCGUGCAGGAUGACGGCCCUAUGGGUUGUAAACUGCUUUUAUGCGGGGAUAAAGUGAGGGACGUGUCCUUCAUUGCAGGUACCGCAUGAAUAAGGACCGGCUAAUUCCGUG
rnacentral:rRNA from 1 species